GAUGAACGCUAGCGGGAGGCCUAACACAUGCAAGCCGAGCGGUAUGGGUAGCUUGCUACCCAGAGAGCGGCGUACGGGUGCGUAACACGUGUGCAACCUGCCCCUAUCCGGGGGAUAGCCCUCCGAAAGGAGGAUUAAUACCCCAUAAUAUAUCUGGUGGCAUCACUAGAUAUUGAAAACCCCGGUGGAUAGGGAUGGGCACGCGCAAGAUUAGAUAGUUGGCGGGGUAACGGCCCACCAAGCCGAUGAUCUUUAGGGGUCCUGAGAGGGAGAUCCCCCACACUGGUACUGAGACACGGACCAGACUCCUACGGGAGGCAGCAGUGAGGAAUAUUGGACAAUGGGUGGAAGCCUGAUCCAGCCAUCCCGCGUGAGGGACGACGGCCCUAUGGGUUGUAAACCUCUUUUGUACGGGGAUAAACCUAUCUACGUGUAGAUAGCUGAAGGUACCGUACGAAUAAGCACCGGCUAACUCCGUG
rnacentral:rRNA from 1 species